GGCUUGGCGUUGCUACCAUGCAGUCGAACGGAAUCCUUCGGGAUUUAGUGGCGGACGGGUGAGUAACACGUGAGAAUCUGCACUCAGGAUGGGGACAACAGCGGGAAACUGCUGCUAAUACCCAAUGUGCCGAAAGGUAAAAGAUUUAUCGCCUGAGAAUGAGCUCGCGGCCGAUUAGUUAGUUGGUGGGGUAAUGGCCUACCAAGACGGCGAUCGGUAGCUGGUCUGAGAGGAUGAGCAGCCACACUGGGACUGAGACACGGCCCAGACUCCUACGGGAGGCAGCAGUGGGGAAUUUUCCGCAAUGGGCGCAAGCCUGACGGAGCAAGACCGCGUGGGGGAGGAAGGCUCUUGGGUUGUAAACCCCUUUUCUCAGGGAAGAAGUUCUGACGGUACCUGAGGAAUCAGCCUCGGCUAACUCCGUGCCAGCAGCCGCGGUAAUACGGAAGAAGCAAGCGUUAUCCGGAAUUAUUGGGCGUAAAGCGUCCGUAGGUGGUGGGGCAAGUUCGGCGGUUAAAGACUGGGGCUUAACUCCAGAAAGGCCGUGGAAACUGCACCACUAGAGGGCAGUAAGGGUAGAGGGAAUUCCCGGUGUAGCGGUGAAAUGCGUAGAGAUCGGGAAGAACACCAGUGGCGAAAGCGCUCUACUGGACUGCAACUGACACUCAGGGACGAAAGCUAGGGGAGCGAAUGGGAUUAGAUACCCCAGUAGUCCUAGCCGUAAACGAUGGAUACUAGGUGUUGUCUGUAUCGACCCAGACAGUGCCGCAGCUAACGCGAUAAGUAUCCCGCCUGGGGAGUACGCACGCAAGUGUGAAACUCAAAGGAAUUGACGGGGGCCCGCACAAGCGGUGGAGUAUGUGGUUUAAUUCGAUGCAACGCGAAAAACCUUACCAGGGCUUGACAUGUCGCGAACCUCGCUGAAAGGUGAGGGUGCCUUCGGGAGCGCGAACACAGGUGGUGCAUGGCUGUCGUCAGCUCGUGUCGUGAGAUGUUGGGUUAAGUCCCGCAACGAGCGCAACCCUCGUUCUUAGUUGCCAUCAUUCAGUUGGGCACUCUAGGGAGACUGCCGGUGAUAAACCGGAGGAAGGUGGGGGAUGACGUCAAGUCAUCAUGCCCCUUACGUCCUGGGCUACACACGUACUACAAUGGGUGGGACAAAGGGCAGCGAACUCGCAAGAGCCAGCUAAUCCCAUAAACCCAUCCUCAGUUCAGAUUGCUCUCUGCAACUCGAGAGCAUGAAGGAGGAAUCGCUAGUAAUCGCAGGUCAGCAUACUGCGGUGAAUACGUUCCCGGGCCUUGUACACACCGCCCGUCACACCAUGGAAGUUGGCCAUGCCCGAAGUCAUUACUCUAACCCCUCGGGGAAGGAGGAUGCCGAAGGCAGGGCUGAUGACUGGGGGUGAAGUCGUAACAAGGUAGCCGUACCGGAAGGUGUGGCUGGAUCACCUCCUUUUUAGGGAGACCUGAGAGAUGAAUUGAGUCCAAACGCACCAAUCAUAACUCUCAUAUCCCAGGUCGUUCGAGGUCAAACAAAAAGGCUUUCAAACUAACAUCAGGUCGGGACAUGGGCUAUUAGCUCAGGUGGUUAGAGCGCACCCCUGAUAAGGGUGAGGUCCCUGGUUCGAGUCCAGGAUGGCCCACUCCCCGCCAUAAGUAAAGCGCCCAAGGCGCUUUUCUGAAAACGGCCACCUUUGGGGGGGUAUAGCUCAGUUGGUAGAGCGCUGCCUUUGCAAGGCAGAUGUCAGCGGUUCGAGUCCGCUUACCUCCAAAAAAAAAAAACCACUGUCAACCAACCCCACUGGGAAUGAACCAGACAGACUGCUGGACAGAAUCUGUCCAGAAUGAACCUAGAAGAAUUACAUAGAAACCGAAUCAAAGGUGUAUCCAUUUUCGAGUAAAAUCGAGGAUAUGGAAUCAAGCCAAUGUGGUCUAGCUAUAAACGCUAACUGGUA
rnacentral:rRNA from 1 species